ensembl:lncRNA
GCAUCCCACCACAGAGAAUGACAUAGAGGUCAAAAUGUAAAGCAAGUUCUCUAUUUUGGGACUGAGACCUGCCUGACCAACUCCUUUAGGCUUCCUCCCUACAUGUCACAAAUCUGAUCCCUCUUACUGCAAGAAACUCCUUUUCAUUAAAGCUGCAAGUCUCGAAAGACAGGCUAACAUUGACAUCUCUUUAAUUUGCCUAUCACUCAUCUUGCCUCUCCCUUCUGGCAAUGUGAUCAUCAAUUAUUGACUUUGGAGUACACUUGGAAGCAUCACGAGUAACAUGUUCCAAACCACUUUUUGAAAUACGUCAUCAGACUGUGAAUUUCUGGCUUCAUCUGGCUGGUCUUACUACAUAAAGGCCCCUGGUAGGCAGAGUCUUACAGGAGGAGGAAGAGAAGGAAAUUCAGAUUCCUGCUGAGACUCCUUGGGGACAGCCAGACAUGAAGACCCUGAUGCUUUUAGGACUUGUGCUCUUGUGUAGCCAGUUCACACUGAGCUUGGCCCAGGAGGAAGAACAAGGCUCAAAAGUCAUCUCAGAGGUCGCUAACAGUUUGCAGAAUACUCUGACAAAUGCUGUGAAAGAGCUCAACAAGGUGGACUUGAUAAAAGAAAUUGAGGACGCACCAAUUAUUGGAAAUGUGCUGAAGGCAUUGAGUGGAAUGAUUGGGAAAAUAGUUUCGUUCAACAUUAAAAAUGCCCAACUCCUGAAAAUUUCCCUCACAGAAAAUCAAGACAAAAAGAGUCUCUCUCUCAGUGUGCCCUUGGAUGUCUCUCUGAGUUUGAACACAUUGCUUCUCAAGGCGAUUGAUAUCACUCUAAAUGCGAACACAUCACUUGAACUCACAACUGAAAAGAAUGAAGAUGGAGAAGCUCGCCUGAGUGUUUCCAAAUGUCAGACAAGCUCUCAACUUCUUAAAAUCUCAUCCCAGCAAACGGGUUUAUUUGGAUGGGGACUAGAAGCUUUAUCUAAAUCCGUGAGCCGACUUGCUGAGUGGGAGGUCAAGCAAUUAGUCAACAUUCUCAAGUGUGAUGGGUCCAUAGGUCAACUCCCAGGUCAGUUCUGCCCUUUGAUCAGAACCGUAGUAGGACUGGCGCCUCCAGCACUGGUAGGCGCUUUGCAUGUUCUAAUCUGGCCCCUUCCCUGAUGGAGUGACUGAGAACUGAGUCAAAGCAGCAG